GAUGAACGCUGGCGGCGUGCCUAAUACAUGCAAGUAGAACGCUGAAGGAAGGAGCUUGCUCUUUCCGGAUGAGUUGCGAACGGGUGAGUAACGCGUAGGUAACCUGCCUGGUAGCGGGGGAUAACUAUUGGAAACGAUAGCUAAUACCGCAUAACAGUAGAUGUUGCAUGAUAUCUACUUAAAAGGUGCAAUUGCACCACUACCAGAUGGACCUGCGUUGUAUUAGCUAGUUGGUGAGGUAACGGCUCACCAAGGCGACGAUACAUAGCCGACCUGAGAGGGUGAUCGGCCACACUGGGACUGAGACACGGCCCAGACUCCUACGGGAGGCAGCAGUAGGGAAUCUUCGGCAAUAGACGGAAGUCUGACCGAGCAACGCCGCGUGAGUGAAGAAGGUUUUCGGAUCGUAAAGCUCUGUUGUAAGAGAAGAACGAGUGUGAGAGUGCAAAGUUCACACUGUGACGGUAUCUUACCAGAAAGGGACGGCUAACUACGUG
rnacentral:rRNA from 1 species